CCUUUUGAAAGCAAUGAAGCAUACCACAGGACAAAUAGCACAGUGUUACCAACGUAUAAUCGUAAAAUGAAAAGAGCAUUUAAAGGGCUGUGGAAUCAAAGGCCAGUGGCGGACAUGGGCCUCAUUCUCACUCGUCCAACUUCUCUUUCCAGCAAACCAUACCUUUUCUGCAAUUGUAGCUCAUCAUGUCAGUGAACCAUGCAUGCUGCUUUACCUAAUGGCUUCUAAUCUGUACUGGACUUGGACUUUUCAAGAUGAAUGAAACUGAUUAAGGCAACUCUCUCCUGCCAACUUCACCAUAUUUGGAUGCAGCGUCUCAUCCUUCCAUCUCACCUGUCCAGAAAAGAAAGAAAGAAAGAAGAAAGAAAGAAAGAAAGAAAGAAAGAAAGAAAGAAAGAAAGAAAGAAAGAAAGAAAGAAAGAAAGAAAGAAAAAGAAAGAAAGAAAGAAAGAAAAAGAAACAGAAGAAGUUGCAGAGCAAAAUAAUGAGGAGACUGGGCCAGACUGCAAGGUGAAACUCCUGGUCUCCCCACUUGCUAGUGAGAUGACUUUGGAUAGGUGAUUUAAUCAUUGAAAAGUCUCUGCCAGAUGCAGUGGCUCACGCAUGUCAUCCCAGCAUUUUGGGAGGCCGAGGUGGGCAGAUCACUUGGGGCCAGAAGUUCGAGACCAGCCUAGUCAAAAUGCCAACAUGCCCGUCUCUAUUAAAAAUACAAAAAUUAGCCAUUCGUAGUGGCACAUGCCCAUAAUACCAGCUACCUGGCAGGCUGAGGUGGGAGAAUUGCUUGAACCCAGAAGGCGGAGGUUGCAAUGAGCCAAGAUUGUGCGCACUCCAACCUGGGCGACGGAGAGAGACUCCAUCUAAAAAAAAAAAAGAAAGAAAAAGAAAAGUCUCAGCUGCCCAAUGUGUAAAAUGGGAAUAAUAAUAGUAGUUCCUAUCUCAUAAUGUAAGGUUGAUAAGAUUAUUUUAAGUAAUUUAUAUGCAGCAUGUAAAUCAGAGUUGGGCACAUAGGAAACCAUAUGUGCUAGCAUUUUUAAUAUCAUUAUCAUCAUUAUUAUAAGGCACCAUGAUAAUAAUUAAGUCUAUUAAUUCCAGUAAUUCUCAAGGAAUAAUUUCAUGGAAUCACAGAGUAGUUCAUACACACACACACACACACACACCCACACACAAAAAAACACACAUACACACACACACACCCUCCUUUUCCAGCACUUCUGGGAAUGUUUGAUGUUUGAAAUAUAGAGGGAAGGGGAAGCUUCCCAAGAGAUUAUAUUACAAGGGUUAGUUAUCAGAAAAGAAUGCUGUGGCAAACUCUGUUGCUUGAAUGAUCCGACCCCACUUCCAGCCUCUUCCCUAGUUCCCCUUCCAGCUAGGAAUGGCAAGUGACACAGUUCAGCCAGAAAAGACAUCUCUCUUCCUCCUGCAG
rnacentral:lncRNA from 1 species